GCUCAGUGUGCAGAGCAGCUCUGUGGCACGCUCACUGCAGACGGAACCUGCUGAUCGACGAGGUCUCUGCCAGCAGGACUCGGAAUAUUUUUGGUUUUUCCCACAGGCGUUGUCUGGUACAGACUUGAGCAGCGCUGCUCAAGCCAUGGAGGGAGUGUGUGCUGCAGUUUGCGCAGCUUUUUCCGUGGCUUAUUCUGGGUACUUUCUCACCCACCUGGCACGUCACAUCACCCGUGCCUGGAGAGAAUCCAGUCUUUGGAGCCCAACACCAACCUCGGAGGAUCCUCUGGCUGCGUGUCUUCCUGCAGAAGAGGCCAGAGGGGAGGAAGAUGCUCCCCAAACUGCGCCUGCUGCCACUGCAGGGCCUGAGCAUCCAGCAUCA